AAAAAAAGUUGUUUAGGUUUUAAAAAAAAUUAAUUAAGUAUAAGUUGUAGUAAAAGGUGUAGAAAUAUAAGAUUGUAUAUUAGUACUGAAAGGGAAAAUGAAGUGAUAAUUUUAAAAAUAGUAAAAAUUAAAAUUUGUACCUUUAGCAUUAUGGAUUAAUAAUAUAAUUAAUUUUAUAAUUAAUUCUCGAAUUAAAAGGAUUUAUUUAAUGUAAGGGUUAAACCUAACAACUUUAACGUAGUAUAGUUAUGUUGUUAAUAUUAAAUGGUAGUGAAAUGCUAUUCGACUUUUAUGUUAGCUAGUUUAUUAAUUAUAGCAUAUAAGUGCGGUAUAAUACUUAUAUAGAUGUAUAUAGUGUUAUAUUUAUAUUUAAUGGGGGAAAAGCUUCAUAUUGUUAUUGAGAUUUACUGAAUAAGUUAAUUUUUGUUUAAAUUGAAUUAGAUAAUUUUGUUUAUAAUUUUAAUUGGGUUAAUAGGGAAUAUCUUUAUAUUUGCUAAUAAAUUUUUAUUAAUUAUUGUGAUAGAUAAUUAUAAUGUUAAUAUGAGUAUUUAGGUUCUAAUGAAUUUUAUAUUAUUAACAUUUGAUAUGUAAAAGUAAGUAAAAGUUUAUAAAAUUAGUGUGGUGUAAUAAAGUAAAAAAAAGGAAUUCGGCAAAUAUCAAUUUCGCCUGUUUAUCAAAAACAUGUCUCUUUGUUAGUCUUGUAUAAGGAGUCGGGCCUGCUCGGUGAUGAAUGUAUUUAACAGCUGCGGUAUUUUAACUGUACUAAGGUAGCAUAAUAAUUUGCCUUAUAAAUUAGGGCUAGAAUGAAUGGUUUGACGAAAGUUGGUCUGUCUCUUAAUUAUUUUUUAAAAAUUAAUUUUUAAAGUGAAAAAGCUUAAAUUAUUUAAAGGGACGAGAAGACCCUAUUGAGCUUUAUAUUGAUUAUUUAUAUAUGUGUAUAUUUAUAUAAUUUUUAGAUGAUUUGAUUGGGGUGAUCAAGGAAUAAGUAUUAUAUUUUAACUUCCUUAAAGUAGUUUUAUUAAUAUAUAAAUUAACCAAUUUUAUUGCUUUUAUGAGUAAGUUACCAUAGGGAUAACAGCGUAAUUUUUUUAGAGAGUUCUUAUUGAAAAAAAAGAUUGCGACCUCGAUGUUGGAUUAAAAUAACCUUAAGGUGUAGAAGCUUUAAUUGGUAAAUCUGUUCGAUUUUUAAAAUUUUACAUGAUCUGAGUUCAGACCGGUGUAAGCCAGGUUGGUUUCUAUCUUUUAAUAAUAUUUUUAUGUCUAGUACGAAAGGACCGAUUAUAGCUGAAAUUUUUAUUAUGUAAUAAAAUAUAAAGUUGACAGAAUGUAUGUGAAUGAAUUAGGGUCAUUU
rnacentral:rRNA from 1 species